GCUCUGGACACUUGGACACUGUUGCAGAAAACCUCUGUAAUUCCAUGCCCGUGACUGUCAGCAGCAACAGCGAAGACCACAAGAAGGUGACCCACCUUGAGUCCGAGUGCUUAAGAGGCAGCAGCAUGCUCCUGAGGAGGAGGAUCCUUGACAAAAGAAAGGUGAAAGUCAUGGAGAUAACCCUCCUGUACCUUGAAGAGCUUCCAUCUCUCCUGGAGAGUUCCCUUCCAGGGCUAAAACCUGGAAUUCCAGGUAUUGUCCUCAUCCAUUUGGUUGAAGCUUGCUCACGACUCCCACAUCUUCAUUCCAGUCUGUGUGAAGGGAUAAAAAACAAGGUGAGGGUGAGCAGCUUCCUUUUAAAGACAUCAUGGGGCAAAUAUCACCUCUG
rnacentral:lncRNA from 1 species